GCUAGUUGAAAUGAAUCGAUUUUCCAAUUACAUAGAGAUUUUCAAGAACCCGAGGAUGAAAUUGGUGAUGGCAUAUAAGUUACAAUAGGGCGCCGACCUAUCUAGAAUCUGAAAUUUAUCAAUCAAAAUAGUUUCUCUGAUUUUUAAAAUCUAGAACCUAUCGUACAUUCCUUAGAACUUGCAACUGGAUAGAUUCCCACUAGUCUGGUUCUUCGGUUCCAGAUUCUAAUUCGAAACUAUGCUCAUCCCUAACUCGUGUAGUGGUACAAUGUUUUUUCUUGCCAUGUACCUAGCGAUACCCUCUUGAAGACUUCUAGGGCUCAAUUAGUCCUUGCUAAACUAACUACCGGCAUUCUUGAAGAGCUAGAGUUGCAUCUUUUAGUUUCAUUCCGGAAUGAGUUGCCUUUGUUGGGUUUCGGAUGAGAAUCCAAAUAAAGCCUUUUGAGGACCUGUUUAG
rnacentral:lncRNA from 1 species